UACGUAGGGUGCAAGCGUUGUCCGGAAUUAUUGGGCGUAAAGAGCUCGUAGGCGGUCUGUCGCGUCGGAUGUGAAAACCCAGGGCUCAACCCUGGGCCUGCAUUCGAUACGGGCAGACUAGAGUUCGGUAGGGGAGACUGGAAUUCCUGGUGUAGCGGUGAAAUGCGCAGAUAUCAGGAGGAACACCGGUGGCGAAGGCGGCUCACUGGCUCAUUACUGACGCUCAGGCGCGAUAGCGUGGGGAUCAAACAGG
rnacentral:rRNA from 1 species